UCGCAUCUGUGCAUGCAGAUAUCAAUAAGCGGAGGAAAAGAAACUAACAAGGAUUCCCCUAGUAACGGCGAGUGAAGCGGGAAGAGCUCAAAUUUGAAAUCUUAAAGGGUUUCCCUUUACGAAUUGUAGUUUAAAGAAGUGUUUUCUGUUGAGGUUUUGGUAAAAGUUCUUUGGAAUAGGACAUCAUAGAGGGUGAGAAUCCCGUAUUUGACCUUUACUUUCAACUUUGUGAUACACUUUCAAAGAGUCGGAUUGUUUGGGAAUGCAGUCCAAAAUGGGUGGUAAAUUUCAUCUAAAGCUAAAUAUUGGCGAGAGACCGAUAGCGAACAAGUACCGUGAAGGAAAGAUGAAAAGAACUUUGAAAAGAGAGUUAAACAGUACGUGAAAUUGUCAAAAGGGAAGCGUUUGGACACCAGUGUUGUUUUUCUGAAAAUCAAUUAAAGAACUGUUUAUGCUAAGUUGUUUAGACUUUAUCAGCUAUCUGUUUAGUUUUGAGCUUUUCUUUAAUGCACUUUUCAGUUAACAAGUCAACAUCAAUUUCUUUUGCUGUAAAAAAGCUUGAGGAAGGUGGCUUGAGAUUCGUCUUAAGUGUUUAUAGCCUCUUGCCUAUGCAGUCGGAGAGAUUGAGGUCUGCAGCGUAGAUCCUUCGGGGCUAAAUGCAUUUGUGCUAAGUUAUAGCAUUUCAUAGACAACUUGUUGACUAUGAUUUGUCUUGUAGCUUACUCGCUUAUGUUAUUUUACCUACGCUUAGGAUGUUGACAGCAGUAUAGACUGU
rnacentral:rRNA from 1 species